rnacentral:rRNA from 1 species
GGGGAAUAUUGGACAAUGGGCGCAAGCCUGAUCCAGCCAUGCCGCGUGAGUGAUGAAGGCCCUAGGGUUGUAAAGCUCUUUCAACGGUGAAGAUAAUGACGGUAACCGUAGAAGAAGCCCCGGCUAACUUCGUGCCAGCAGCCGCGGUAAUACGAAGGGGGCUAGCGUUGUUCGGAAUUACUGGGCGUAAAGCGCACGUAGGCGGAUCAGUCAGUUAGGGGUGAAAUCCCAGGGCUCAACCCUGGAACUGCCUUUAAUACUGCUGAUCUAGAGUUCGAGAGAGGUGAGUGGAAUUCCGAGUGUAGAGGUGAAAUUCGUAGAUAUUCGGAGGAAUACCAGUGGCGAAGGCGGCUCACUGGCUCGAUACUGACGCUGAGGUGCGAAAGCGUGGGGAGCAAAC